AGCCUCUCAGGGUCACACCUGAAGAGUUUCCAGUCCUCUACCAGUCUUCGCUACGAGAUGGAGAGUCAAGCAGAGGUAUAUCCAUUCCAUUCCUAGCUUGGCCAGUGGCUAGCGAAUGGAAGGCAAUCUGCUACAGGU
rnacentral:snoRNA from 1 species